GAGUUUGAUCAUGGCUCAGAUUGAACGCUGGCGGCAGGCCUAACACAUGCAAGUCGGGCGGUAGAGAGAAGCUUGCUUCUCUUGAGAGCGGCGGACGGGUGAGUAAUGCCUAGGAAUCUGCCUGGUAGUGGGGGAUAACGCUCGGAAACGGACGCUAAUACCGCAUACGUCCUACGGGAGAAAGCAGGGGACCUUCGGGCCUUGCGCUAUCAGAUGAGCCUAGGUCGGAUUAGCUAGUUGGUGAGGUAAUGGCUCACCAAGGCGACGAUCCGUAACUGGUCUGAGAGGAUGAUCAGUCACACUGGAACUGAGACACGGUCCAGACUCCUACGGGAGGCAGCAGUGGGGAAUAUUGGACAAUGGGCGAAAGCCUGAUCCAGCCAUGCCGCGUGUGUGAAGAAGGUCUUCGGAUUGUAAAGCACUUUAAGUUGGGAGGAAGGGCAGUAAAUUAAUACUUUGCUGUUUGACGUUACCGACAGAAUAAGCACCGGCUAACUCUGUGCCAGCCGACCGG
rnacentral:rRNA from 1 species